ACAGGCUUAACACAUGCAAGUCGAGGGGCAGCAUGGUCUUAGCUUGCUAAGGCCGAUGGCGACCGGCGCACGGGUGAGUAACACGUAUCCAACCUGCCGUCUACUCUUGGACAGCCUUCUGAAAGGAAGAUUAAUACAAGAUGGCAUCAUGAGUCCGCAUGUUCACAUGAUUAAAGGUAUUCCGGUAGACGAUGGGGAUGCGUUCCAUUAGAUAGUAGGCGGGGUAACGGCCCACCUAGUCUUCGAUGGAUAGGGGUUCUGAGAGGAAGGUCCCCCACAUUGGAACUGAGACACGGUCCAAACUCCUACGGGAGGCAGCAGUGAGGAAUAUUGGUCAAUGGGCGCAGGCCUGAACCAGCCAAGUAGCGUGAAGGAUGACUGCCCUAUGGGUUGUAAACUUCUUUUAUAAAGGAAUAAAGUCGGGUAUGGAUACCCGUUUGCAUGUACUUUAUGAAUAAGGAUCGGCUAACUCCGUGCCAGCAGCCGCGGUAAUACGGAGGAUCCGAGCGUUAUCCGGAUUUAUUGGGUUUAAAGGGAGCGUAGAUGGAUGUUUAAGUCAGUUGUGAAAGUUUGCGGCUCAACCGUAAAAUUGCAGUUGAUACUGGAUAUCUUGAGUGCAGUUGAGGCAGGCGGAAUUCGUGGUGUAGCGGUGAAAUGCUUAGAUAUCACGAAGAACUCCGAUUGCGAAGGCAGCCUGCUAAGCUGC
rnacentral:rRNA from 1 species